GGCCAUAUAGCUCAAUUGGCAGAGUUCUUGUUUUGUAAACAAGAGGUUGUGGGUUCGAGUCCCACUGUGGCCU
rnacentral:tRNA from 1 species